AUGAUUCAUAGUUCUCACCAACUCAUCCGCAGAUUCAAGUCUUCUCUGAUUUCAGAUCUCGUUGCGGCUUGGUUCUUAGUUAUUAGCUUUAAUGUCAACUCUAUCAACAUAUACGAAUACACACAUGUUCAUAAAGAGUUGCUGAAGGAAGAUGAAGUUCUUACUCGUCAAAGUCACUUCGAUGGUGCUUCAAGCGUGAUUCAAGUAUGUGUUCUUUAUUCCUUGCCUCUAUCUUCUUCUGUUAUGAAUUCCUCUUCUGAGUUAUUCCGAAUUGUUGUGUUGUAA